UGGGGAAUAUUGCACAAUGGGCGCAAGCCUGAUGCAGCCAUGCCGCGUGUGUGAAGAAGGCCUUCGGGUUGUAAAGCACUUUCAGCGAGGAGGAAGGUGGUGGACUUAAUACGUUCAUCAAUUGACGUUACUCGCAGAAGAAGCACCGGCUAACUCCGUGCCAGCAGCCGCGGUAAUACGGAGGGUGCAAGCGUUAAUCGGAAUUACUGGGCGUAAAGCGCACGCAGGCGGUUUGUUAAGUCAGAUGUGAAAUCCCCGGGCUCAACCUGGGAACUGCAUUUGAAACUGGCAAGCUAGAGUCUCGUAGAGGGGGGUAGAAUUCCAGGUGUAGCGGUGAAAUGCGUAGAGAUCUGGAGGAAUACCGGUGGCGAAGGCGGCCCCCCUGGANGAAGACUGACGCUCAGGUGCGAAAAGGCGUGGGGGACAAAACAGGAUUAGAUACCCUGGUAGUCCACGCUGU
rnacentral:rRNA from 1 species